AGUGAACGCUGGCGGCAGGCCUAACACAUGCAAGUCGAGCGGCAGCGGGUUCCCGCGAGGGGAUGCCGGCGAGCGGCGGACGGGUGAGGGACACAUCGGAAUCUGCCUGGUUGUGGGGGAUAACGUAGGGAAACUUACGCUAAUACCGCAUGAGACCCUGAGUCGACGGACUGGGGGUGAAAGUGAGGGACCUUCGGGCCUCACGCGACCAGAUGAGCCGAUGUCGGAUUAGCUAGUUGGCGGGGUAACGGCCCGCCAAGGCGACGAUCCGUAGCUGGUCUGAGAGGAUGAUCA
rnacentral:rRNA from 1 species